CACGAUCUACCGCGGAGCCACAAGGACAGGAGCGGGGGAACCAACAUCCGGACGUCCGCACACGGAGUCCUUGGGGUAAAGCCGGCAGCGCCCAUCAGCGCUACCGGCCGGGCUUGUUCCCGCCCGCACCCGACAGCUCACCUCGUAGGCGACGGGAAGGACCGA
rfam:Frankia sp. Dg2 genome assembly, contig: Dg2_contig363